UCACUUUGGCAGUGUGUAGACUAAAACUGUAACUAUACCAAGAAGACUAACAUGGCCGCUGCACAAGGAUGGCAUGCAAAUUCAUGAAGCAUGCCAUAUAUUU